rnacentral:lncRNA from 1 species
AACAAAACUCGGUUAUAUCAUUGGCCCCCGUGCACCUGUGCUCGAUAAUAUGCACGAGGAUAGGUGCAAAAAGUUCCCAGUUACAGUCCUCGGUAUAGCCUCUGUCGAUUAAAUACUGAGGAAGGCCUCCUGAGGGCUGACGUCAGAUGUGGUAAUGACGCCAGCCCUAGUAGAAAGGCGGUGUAAUUUUUAGACCGUGGGAUGUAGGACACGUGGCAUGAUCGAACGGUUCAGGAUGCGACCUUUGGGCUCCCACCCAUGUUUCCCUAUAUAAGCCUCCAUUCCUAUUCAUUUUUUACUUUUUUACUAUCAGUAAACCUUGUCGGAAUCGUCGGGAUAAGGUGAGUCCUCAAGUCUUUAAGUUAAUUGUUUUUAGAAAAGUCUAUAUUUAAGGUAGGAUGUCGAGUAGUGAUAGCGAUACGUCAUCCUCGAGUUCGGGGACACCAACCGAGGACUUGGGGCAGUCGAUAAUACCUAUGGCCGUCCCCAUAAGUGCAAAUCCUCGAGCCCAGGAUAUCCCGACCCCACUAGUGUACCCCGAC